rnacentral:lncRNA from 1 species
AAAUGCAUGAUAAAAUGCUUUGAGGAUUAACAGCUCUAGGAUCACUUGGAUCCUAUACAGCAGGUUACCAAAAACGGGUCUCAUGGAAGAAAUCAUGGUUGAAGACUCUUCAACAUCACCAUUGUACCAGAAGUGGAGGAGAGGGAAAACCUCUCAGAAACAAGGUGGCGAGAUAUGUGUAUGGGAGCUCUGGAAAGUUUAUCAGCUGUGCAAGAUGUUUACACACUUCUGAAUGCAAAAGUUCAGUUCCUGGGAAAGAAGAUUAGGCAGUGACACAUUCUCAGCAAGACUCAUGUGAUUCCUUGGGAGUUCUGAAGAUGCGAUGACGCUUUAGAUCUGUGUCACGUUGGAACAAGAGGGUCUGGAUUCUGUAUCUCCACAUGAACUAGUCAUUGGGUUGAAGCUACUUAGAAAAAGAGAUAGACUUCUGGGCAAAUCAAUUAUCGAAGAGGGUUUACAGGUGGGAACUGCCUGUCAGCAACAUCAGCUGCAGCUGCGAAUACAAGCCCUUCAUUCCCGAAUGGGGAUCUGGGUAAUAUAUCACGGCCUUCAUUCUAUUCCACUUAAUCUUCAUAUAGUUCUCAAACAUUAUAACUGAUCUCCAAAUUAUUUCUGAAACUACCUAAGAUUUUCCAGGCAGUAAGCAUGGAAAAUGACCCACCAAAGAUGUCCACAUCCUAAUCCUAGGGACCUAUGUU